UGUAAAAUAAGCUAAAUUUAAGCUCUUGGGUUCAUGCCCCAAAUAUGAACAAUAGUUCUUUUACAA
rnacentral:tRNA from 1 species